GCCAGCAGCCAUGUCACCCUGCAACUUACAACUGGCAGCCCACUGAAGCUACGAAGGUGUGAGCCUGGUCAAUACCUGGAUGGGAGACCUCCUGGAAAAAACUAAGGUUGCUGCUGGAA
rnacentral:rRNA from 1 species